AUAGUUUCUUGAUGUUUGCUUUUUAUAUUGCUUUAUUGUCUGUUUAUCUCUUAGUUUUAUUUUUCUAAUUGAAUAACUUUAUUCUUUUAUGUAAGAGUAGAGGCAAGCUGUUGGAAAGGCUCCUCCUCAACUACAACACAAACAGUGCUCUUUUCUCACAUUUGGGUUUGGUGGUGGUACUGGUCCCUCUCAAUCUCCAAGGAAAGAGAGCCAUUCAAUGUUACACCAACAUCGCACGAGUCAUCUUAUGACACUCCAGAAAUAAGAAAGAGUAAAUCUAUUGAUUGGUACAGAGAGUGGACUCAUGCUUCUUGACCGUAGUGGUUAAGGUAAGGUGUACCAGUUAAUAUCGAGGAGAAAAUUUCGGCAAGUGAAAGUCCUAGAAGGCCAAAAUAUUCUUGUCACAGUGUCUGGCGAAAAAUGUAGAGUAUGCGUAUAUUACCUCUCAGGGCUGAGGAGUAAAAUAUUAAGAACUGAUGGAAGGCAGUAUCGAAAAAAAACUAAACAAGAAAUUGCUGCUGAAAUGAACCUUUCUGAAGCUGCAUUUCUUACAGGAUUAGAAGAAGAUACUUUUGAUAAUGGUUCUGCUCAUUCAGUGCUUGAUCCAUAUUGGUCUGAAACUCUACAACAGAAUUCUUUUUGUGGACUCAUCUUCACUGUGCUGCUUCUUGCAAUAAUUCAACUAUAAUAAAAUUUUUGCUGGAAAAACUUUAUCAAAACUUGAGUAAUCAUGAAACAACUUGGGAGAGAAUGCUUUGUACAUAUAUGUAUCGAGAGUCCUGUAAAGAGGCUAAGUCUGAAACGUCUUCUGAGAAAAGAUACAAGAUAUAAUUAUAUUAAUGUUAUUUUUUUCACCUAUUGCAGAAUAUAUUGUAGUUAUUUUCUAAAUAUUUUAAUGGCUCUGUAUGUAAUAAAAAUAUAAUUCAAUG
rnacentral:lncRNA from 1 species